UUUAUAAUUUUAAUUUGUUCAACAAACACACUAAAGGUAGCAUCCUUCCUCUUCUCCUUAACAAGCAAACAUUAUACAGUUACAUUAAAAAACCUAUAGUAACAAAUACAUUUGUCUAAUUUACAUAGUGAAAUUCUCUGUAAGAUUUCAUUUGGAAAAAAGUUCCAAUGCUAAAAUUAAUUCUAAGAACUACUAUUGUAGACCAUUUUCUUUGUCAUGAAUCCAUUUGGUAUUUAUUUGGCUUUAAGGUCUCUUUUCUUUUGAAAAAUCCUCUAAAAACACAAAUACAGUUUCUUGUGUCUCCUGACUUUCAGACUUUCUUCUCCUUCUCCUUUGUAAGCCAUCCUAGCAAGACUAGUUCACAAAACACCUGAAUUUUAAAAGGCAUUUUAACUACAUAUUUGUAAAAAUUGUUUCCAUAGAGAAUGAGGCAAGAGUUUAUUUUCUACAAUUCCAUGCAACUUUAUUACAUGGCAAACAAAAUUAAGCUUGCCUUCUAACCUUAUAUCAUAGUUCCUUCUCAACCCUUCAGCUUUGGUUUUAUUGACUAAAACAUGGUGGAAGAGUCUUUUGUUCUUUCUUAGAAUUUCCAAAAAAUGUAAAUAUUACUAUGACCCAAAUGUUUCAAACUAAUUACUGCUCUUAUAGUCUCAACUGCAUUUUUGGUUACACAUUAGCUUUAUUAGUCACAUUCAUCUUCAGUAAGCAACAUUUUAAAAAUUCAGUGUAAGAUCAUGGUUUCGAUGAUAAGCUUUUUGAUAAAGUGAGCUGAAUUUUUACCAUUUCUAGUCAGAUCAUUUUGGUUGCAUAAGACAGACAAUUCGACUUAAAAUGACUUAAAUAAAUUUUUAAAAAUGUAUUGGCUUACAUAAUUGAAAAUUUUAAUUAUGUAAUUAUUUUUAACAUAAAUUUUUUCACAUAAUUUUUCUUUUUUACAUAAUAGGAGGAGACAGGAGAAGGUGGGUCUCAGUUGUUGUUAUUGGUCAGUCACGCAACUGUGUCCAACUCUUUGUGACCCCAUGAACUGCAGCAUGCCAAGCUUCCCUGU
rnacentral:lncRNA from 1 species